rnacentral:rRNA from 1 species
GUGGGGAAUAUUGGACAAUGGGCGAAAGCCUGAUCCAGCCAUGCCGCGUGUGUGAAGAAGGUCUUCGGAUUGUAAAGCACUUUAAGUUGGGAGGAAGGGCAGUAAGUUAAUACCUUGCUGUUUUGACGUUACCGACAGAAUAAGCACCGGCUAACUUCGUGCCAGCAGCCGCGGUAAUACGAAGGGUGCAAGCGUUAAUCGGAAUUACUGGGCGUAAAGCGCGCGUAGGUGGUUUUGUAAGUUGGAGGUGAAAUCCCCGGGCUCAACCUGGGAACUGCCUCCAAAACUGCAUGACUAGAGUACGGUAGAGGGUAGUGGAAUUUCCUGAGUAGCGGUGAAAUGCGUAGAUAUAGGAAGGAACACCAGUGGCGAAGGCGACUACCUGGACUGAUACUGACACUGAGGUGCGAAAGCGUGGGGAGCAAACAGGAUUAGAAACCCGAGUAGUCC